rnacentral:rRNA from 1 species
AGUGAACGCUGGCGGUAGGCCUAACACAUGCAAGUCGAACGGCAGCACAGUAAGAGCUUGCUCUUACGGGUGGCGAGUGGCGGACGGGUGAGGAAUACAUCGGAAUCUACUUUUUCGUGGGGGAUAACGUAGGGAAACUUACGCUAAUACCGCAUACGACCUACGGGUGAAAGCAGGGGAUCUUCGGACCUUGCGCGAUUGAAUGAGCCGAUGUCGGAUUAGCUAGUUGGCGGGGUAAAGGCCCACCAAGGCGACGAUCCGUAGCUGGUCUGAGAGGAUGAUCAGCCACACUGGAACUGAGACACGGUCCAGACUCCUACGGGAGGCAGCAGUGGGGAAUAUUGGACAAUGGGCGAAAGCCUGAUCCAGCCAUACCGCGUGGGUGAAGAAGGCCUUCGGGUUGUAAAGCCCUUUUGUUGGGAAAGACAAGCAGCAGGUUAAUAACCCGAUGUUCUGACGGUACCCAAAGAAUAAGCAACGGCUAACUUCGUG